CCCUUAGAUGUUCUGGGCCGCACGCGUGCUACACUGAGUGGAUCAGCGGGUCAGGUUGCGCGAAAGUGUUUCCUAAUCUUGAACUCCGCUCGUGAUGGGGAUUGACGGUUGCAAUUUUCCGUCAUGAACGAGGAAUACCUUGUAAGCGCGGGUCAUCAUCCCGCGCUGAAUACGUCCCUGCCCUUUGUACACACCGCCCGUCGCUCCUACCGAUUGAGUGGUCCGGUGAGGCUUUGGGAUCUGAGCGGAAAGAGCGUUUCGCUGUUUCUGCUCGGAAAACUCAGUCGAACCUUAUCAUUUAGAGGAAGGAGAAGUCGUAACA
rnacentral:rRNA from 1 species